rnacentral:lncRNA from 1 species
GGGCGGGGCCGGCGCCCCUCAUCUGGGAGCCAUGUUGGGGCGGCAGCGGGGGAUAAACAACCUGGGCCGCCGCGGCCCGAGCCCAGGAAAGCUGUGCUGAGGGGUGAAACACAACCAUCGCGGCUCUUUUACUCACCCAGCGCACAACAGGCUAAAUAUAACCCCUGCUGCUCUUGUGUGCGGGCACGGGCUUGCGUCAGGCGUUUCUGGCUCCUGAUGAGCAAAGAAUGAGAGGAGGAAAAUAUAUAAGGAGCUCCUGAUCUGUUUAAAUCAUAAUUUGGAAACAAAUGUGUAACGGCAAGGUAGAGGGCUGAGGUUUUUUUUAUCUCCAUUUCACGUAACUGCAGAAUUUAUCAUAGCUUGUCUUCUAGGUAGUUGCAGUGAAAGCAAGAGAUUAUCCCAAGGGGUAUUUGAAAUGAAGAGGACACCUGGAAGUUGACAAUACACCCACUACAGUACAAACAGAGGCUGCAGCUCUGUGACCCUCCUGGCCAGAUUUCUGCACUGCUGGAUUAGUCAGCUUUACACAAAAAGCCAGCAGGUACAACUGCACCAGGCUGCCUCUUCUGAUGCUUUUUUAUAAUUACAGUAUGAUCCUUUUAAUAGCAUUUUCCUGACUUGUCACCUGGAGUCCCAUGCUGCCCUGAGUCUCACCCCCUACCCCUUGCCUUUGUGGACCAUCUUUGUUGCACCCAGGGUGCUCCAACCUGGGGAAGAGGCAAGCAUUCCUACCUGGAUAUAAUCAGAGACUCAGAACACCACAGUCAGCCUUUUCCACUGGAUAUUCAAAAUAAGGCCAUACCCAUCUACACCACCACUAGACCUUCAGAAGAAAACCACACCCUUCUACAGAAUCAUUGCUUAAAAAAACCACAUCUGUCACUUCAGGUGGACUGCAGCCACCAUUUAAUCGGACUGGUACCAACACCCUGACCAACAGGGUGUCAGGAUGUAUUCUGACUGUCAGUGAGUUGUUUUGUGUUGGUUUUUUAUACUACUGCAUUUUUGGUUUAAUUUUCUUAGUAAAAAACUGUUAUUCCUAUUCCCAUAUCUUUGCCUAAGAGCCCCUUGAUUUCAAAAUUAUAAUUAUCCGGGGGAGGAGGGGGAGGUAGUUUAGACUUUUACAUUUCAAAAAGAGUUUCUGCUUUCCUUAGCAGACACCUCUCUUCAAACCAAGACAAAAGGGAAUGAAAUCUUGAAAUCAGAGAACCAAGUGUAACCAAUGCUCUAGGAAGGAGAUAUGAUCAAAUAAAUUCCAGUGGAAAUAACCCA